rnacentral:lncRNA from 1 species
CUAUUGUAAUUGUGCUAUUUCUAUUGAUGUGUCUCCACUUCACUUGUCAUUUGCCAGUGAAACAGCACAAAAAUCUUGAAAAAAAUCAGCCAGACAAAAGAGUGCUUAACCUGCGUUAGCAGCUGAGAGGGGUUCACAGAUAUAAAGGUGUUGGUUAUAUCUCAAGAUGAGAAGUGAGGCAAAAUCCACAAGGAAAGCCAGGCAGCCUUUCUUCAAGAGGUCGUUUGCAUCCAGGACGUGUACAAAUCUCUUUACAUUUAUUUAGAAACUAAGGCAAUUAAAACACCCCAGGUCCCUCCUAUUAACUCAGAAACAUCAUUAUGAAGAUGCUUAUGCCACAGCGGCUUACUACGCUCGGUUUACUGGAAAACUGGAAAGCUUCAUUUUCAGCCAUUUGAUCAACAAUUUCCCGAGGUUGUUAAUGACUUGCAAAAAUCUGCCCAACAGUAACAACCUCAGGGAGACCCCGCGUUGUCUCCUCUGAGAACCCCUUUUGUUUUCAGAAUGAGAAAUUUAAUUAGGCAAGGUUUUUUUUGGCAGAGGAGUUCAUGCCUUGUGCCCUCAACAAGCAAACCCUGUGUGACUGCCCAGCGCCACCCGGGAGCCUGAGCCUUGGCAGAGCCGAGGACCUACUGGGGCAAAGGAAAUUAAUCGAUUUUAAAGUAGUUCCCACCGCGUUUUCCCCUUGUUGGGCAAGUUGCUACUUCUUCUACAUGAAGACCUUUGCUUCAUUUUGCUCCGAGUAG